UGCUCAUAGUCAAUCUUAACUUAAUUUCAAUGUAUAUAAGGUGCAUACCUGAUCAUCUUAGGGUUGUAAGCCCAUCAAUAGAAAUUAUUACGAAAAGAUCGCACAUUUCCAACCCAAUUGCCUUCGGGAUUUAGCCCGGAUGUAACAACCAGCACAAAUGCCUUCGGGACUUAACCCGGAAAUAGCGACCAGCACGAAUGCCUUCGGGGCUUAACCCAAAAAUAACAACCAACACGAAUGCCUUCGGGACUUAACCCAAAAAUAACAACCAGCACGAAUACCUUCGGGACUUAACCCGGAAAUAGCAACCAGCACGAAUGCCUUCGGGACUUAACCCGGAUAUAAUCCUCAAUUGUCAUGCACAAAAUAUAUUUAUAUUAUAAAUCAUUAACAAUUCAUUUACAUUAUUAGAUCACAAACACAACAUGAUUAUCCAUCAUUCAUUUUUGGCUCAACAGCUCAUACAAAUGACACGAUUCUGUUUCGCUACUCUACAUGAGUUUCUAUAACCAUUCGAUUACAAGCCGAUGCACUACCCAUUUAUUUCAAUAUGUAAAUCAAGAGAAACCAUCAGGUCACAAUUUAUUUAUUGUGCUAUAUAUAUAAAUAUAUAACAUUGUUUAAUCAAAUCAUAAGCUAAGUUCCAUUACUCAAAGACUUACCUCGGAUUUAUUUGAACAACUGCGGAUAGGCUACUCGAUUGCUUUCUCUUUUCCCUUAUUCGAAAUUGCCCCCCUAUGCUCUUGAG
rnacentral:lncRNA from 1 species